rnacentral:tRNA from 1 species
AGUGGGGCGAAAAGUGGUGUGAACAAACUCAUAACCUGAAGGCCGCAGGUUCAAAUCCUGCCCCCGCAACCA